GAUGCAAGUUGUGCUAUUUUAGUCCAAAUGUGAGUUGUUGUGAUAUCCUAUCAACGCAGAGGAUGAAGCUCUCAAAGAAAAGCAGAACACUGCCCUCUUGCGGAAAACAAUGAGCAAUGGGAUAAUCCACAUUGCCUCCUCUCUCUAACAGAGUGAAGAAGCCUUAUCCAGGGGUUAUUGUGUUGUAAAUUGAAUUAUCAAUUUGUAAAAAUCAUCAUAUCCAUAAAAAAAAGCGUUUUUCAAAAUAUAUAAUUGUGCCAACAUUUUGUUAAAUCCCAUCAUCAGACGUGAAUAUUUCUUGACAAGAAAGUCAAACUAAGAUAACAAAAUCCGAAACCAUUCUAGUUACAAUGAUCAAUGACUGGAUAAACAAUUGUAAAGACGUUACACUGGCAUCAAAAUUCAAUAUGUGCUGAAUUAAUCUAGUAUUCGAUUCCUCCAACAGCUCGAACUCUGUGAAUAACUACGUUUCUGGUAUUAUGUAAAGUACUGACAUUUUGUGUGGGAAGUUAAGAUCUUCCCCAUUUGCCAUUGCCGAAAUCUAUUUCUGGAAUUUAUGGACCAAUUAUUCUCGUCAGUUUCAUUCACUAUGGCGAUGCUCAGCGUAACAGUGCUCACCAUCUUGUGGCUUGGGCAAUCAGCCAGGGUGGUUUGGACUCAGGGCCGUCUUCCAGCCCCCUCGCUCUCUUUCUACCGCCCCCGUUUUGGCCGCAACAUCCAACUUUUCUCAGACGUGGAGCUGAUCUGCACACUUCCGACAAAUGUUAGAUUGCCAAUAACUGUCUUUUUUGGCUGGGACAACCAAUCCCUCUCUGCAAUACAUUCCCUCACUAUACAAAACAGAGAUGAUGUCAGGUUCACCACGAAAGCCAUUGCAGCCAAUGAGGGGAUCUACGUAUGCUGGUACAAUGCCAGCAAUACUGGAGACGUGUCGAGAACAAGCAAUCCAGCCAACCUGACCAUCUCCUCUCUUCCAGGGCCAAUUUUGGUGGUGCCCGCCUUCAUACCCAUCGGAGGAAACUACACCAUCAGCUGCCAAACUACCACCCGCUUCCCCAACAGAACCCUGGCCCUUUACUACAGACAGCUGCCUGUUACUGUGGGAAACGAGAUCUUUAAGUUUAAGGGGUCAGCGGCCCUUCUUGACAACCACGAUUCCAUUACACUGAGCAGGUGGCUAGUGGACAGCACAGAAACAUUCGAGUUUGUCUGCAGACUGGAGAUUGUGGACUUCAACCAGCAUAUUUACCUCUCUCCUCCCUCCAGUCCCCACCCAGCUAUUGCAGAGGAGGCCCCUAUCCGUCUUGUGCCCCAGUAUCAGGGCUCCAAGUGUCUGGGACAACUGGAGGUGCAGGUCAGAGGCAGCUGGGGCCCUGUGUGCCAACAGAUAGAAAGCUGGAACCCAGCAAUGGGUAGCGUGGUUUGUCGAGAGCUGGGCUGUGGGACACUAUCUUCCGUCUCGACGAAGCAAGACUACAACCAUAAGGUUGACUUCUCCAUCGGUUCCAUAUUGUGCAGAGGAAGCGAGGGACGACUCAGGGAGUGUCAGAUUGAUGCGGUGCAGCCCCUUUGUAACUCAAGGAAGGGGCUGAAAAUAGUUUGCUCAGAUGCUUUGCCAACUACUAAGAUCUCAGUCACAGGCUACAGAGAGGUAUCGAGAGUCGACAUCAGUGAUGAGCACUCGUUGGAAUUGUCCUGCAUGUUCAAUGCCCCUUGGUUUGGUACGGAAAAGCUUUUCAUGGACUUGACGAGGGUCUCCAUAGAUUCGUACAUUAACAUAAUCGACAAUGUGCAAAUCGCCUCAGGAGAAAAGAUGAGGACCAUGCUUCAUGCCCCUGUCUUAUCAGGAGAGUAUGCCUGUAGAAUUAGAGGGUCUGAACAGACUGUUUCCUCAGUGAGGAUCUUCGUGAGCAAAUGGUACAAACCAAAUGUUGGACUCAUCAUCACGGCUCUCCUCACAGCCGUAUCUGGAGCAGCCAUAUUAGUGUAUAUGUGUGUCUAUCGUGUCCAGAAGGGGGAGACAGCAAAUGCUGUCACUUCUCAAGGGGUGUCCACAGCUGACCCAGAGGCCUCACCAGGAAUGGAGAGUGUCUAG
rnacentral:lncRNA from 8 species